rnacentral:rRNA from 1 species
GGAUAACUUACCCUUUAGGACUGGGAUAACUCUGGGAAACUGGGGAUAAUACUGGAUAUUAGGCUAUGCCUGGAAUGGUUUGCCUUUGAAAUGUUUUUUCGCCUAAGGAUAGGUCUGCGGCUGAUUAGGUCGUUGGUGGGGUAAUGGCCCACCAAGCCCGAUGAUCGGUACGGGUUGUGAGAGCAAGGGCCCGGAGAUGGAACCUGAGACAAGGUUCCAGACCCUACGGGGUGCAGCAGGCGCGAAACCUCCGCAAUGUACGAAAGUGCGACGGGGGGAUCCCAAGUGUUAUGCUUUUUUGUAUGACUUUUCAUUAGUGUAAAAAGCUUUUAGAAUAAGAGCUGGGCAAGACCGGUGCCAGCCGCCGCGGUAACACCGGCAGCUCGAGUGGUAGCUGUUUUUAUUGGGCCUAAAGCGUUCGUAGCCGGUUUGAUAAGUCUUUGGUGAAAGCUUGUAGCUUAACUAUAAGAAUUGCUGGAGAUACUAUUAGACUUGAAGUCGGGAGAGGUUAGAGGUACUACCGGGGUAGGGGUGAAAUCCUAUAAUCCUGGGAGGACCACCUGUGGCGAAGGCGUCUAACUGGAACGAUCUUGACGGUGAGUAACGAAAGCCAGGGGCGCGAACCGGAUUAGAUACCCGGGUAGUCCUGGCCGUAAACGAUGUGGACUUGGUGUUGGAAUGGCUUUGAGUUGUUCCGGUGCCGAAGGGAAGCUGUUAAGUCCACCGCCUGGGAAGUACGGUCGCAA